GCCGAGAUAGCUCAGUUGGUAGAGCAGUGGAUUGAAAAUUCACGUGUCACCAGUUCAACCCUGGUUCUUGGCA
rnacentral:tRNA from 2 species